AGUGAACGCUGGCGGUAGGCCUAACACAUGCAAGUCGAACGGCAGCACAGUAAGAGCUUGCUCUUACGGGUGGCGAGUGGCGGACGGGUGAGGAAUACAUCGGAAUCUACUUUUUCGUGGGGGAGAACGUAGGGAAACUUACGCUAAUACCGCAUACGACCUACGGGUGAAAGCAGGGGAUCUUCGGACCUUGCGCGAUUGAAUGAGCCGAUGUCGGAUUAGCUAGUUGGCGGGGUAAAGGCCCACCAAGGCGACGAUCCGUAGCUGGUCUGAGAGGAUGAUCAGCCACACUGGAACUGAGACACGGUCCAGACUCCUACGGGAGGCAGCAGUGGGGAAUAUUGGACAAUGGGCGCAAGCCUGAUCCAGCCAUACCGCGUGGGUGAAGAAGGCCUUCGGGUUGUAAAGCCCUUUUGUUGGGAAAGAAAAGCAGCAGGUUAAUACCCCGCUGUUCUGACGGUACCAAAAGAAUAAGCACCGGCUAACUUCGUG
rnacentral:rRNA from 1 species